GACGAACGCUGGCGGCGUGCUUAAUACAUGCAAGUCGAGCGAGGUUACUGUUUCGGAUCCCUUCGGGGUGAAGAAGCUUUAACCUAGCGGCGGACGGGUGAGUAACGCGUGGGUAACCUACCCCAAAGUCCGGGAUAACAGCGGGAAACCGCUGCUAAUACCGGAUGCCUUUACCUUGGGGCAUCUUGAGGUAAAGAAAGGCAACGCUUUGGGAUGGGCCCGCGUCCCAUUAGCUAGUUGGUGAGGUAACGGCUCACCAAGGCGACGAUGGGUAGCCGGCCUGAGAGGGUGGACGGCCACACUGGGACUGAGACACGGCCCAGACUCCUACGGGAGGCAGCAGUAGGGAAUAUUGCGCAAUGGACGGAAGUCUGACGCAGCGACGCCGCGUGAGCGAUGAAGGUCUUCGGAUCGUAAAGCUCUGUCCUUGGGGAAGAAGGCGAAAGCUUGACGGUACCCAAGAAGAAAGCCCCGGCUAACUACGUG
rnacentral:rRNA from 1 species